GACGAACGCUGGCGGCGUGCUUAACACAUGCAAGUCGAACGGAAAGGCCCUGCUUUUGUGGGGUGCUCGAGUGGCGAACGGGUGAGUAACACGUGAGUAACCUGCCCUUGACUUUGGGAUAACUUCAGGAAACUGGGGCUAAUACCGGAUAGGAGCUCCUGCUGCAUGGUGGGGGUUGGAAAGUUUCGGCGGUUGGGGAUGGACUCGCGGCUUAUCAGCUUGUUGGUGGGGUAGUGGCUUACCAAGGCUUUGACGGGUAGCCGGCCUGAGAGGGUGACCGGCCACAUGGGGACUGAGAUACGGACCAGAGUCCUACGGGAGGCAGCAGGGGGGAAUAUUGCACAAUGGGCGGAAGCCUGAUGCAGCAACGCCGCGGGCGGGAUGACGGCCUGCGGGUUGUAAACCGCUUUCGCCUGUGACGAAGCGUGAGUGACGGUAAUGGGUAAAGAAGCACCGGCUAACUACGUG
rnacentral:rRNA from 1 species